UGUUCUCAUGCAAACUGUUGAGUGUUCCUGU
rnacentral:piRNA from 1 species